UACGUAGGGUGCGGGCGUAAUCGGAAUUACUGGGCGUAAAGCGUGCGCAGGCGGUUUUGUAAGCCAGAUGUGAAAGCCCCGGGCUUAACCUGGGAAUGGCAUUUGGGACUGCAAGGCUCGAGUUUGGCAGAGGAGACUGGAAUUCCUGGUGUAGCAGUGAAAUGCGUAGAUAUCAGGAGGAAUACCGAUGGCGAAGGCAGGUCUCUGGGCUGAAACUGACGCUCAUGACACGAAAGCGUGGGGAGCAAACAGGA
rnacentral:rRNA from 1 species